rnacentral:rRNA from 1 species
AAAGCGUGGGUAUCAAACAGGAUUAGAUACCCUGGUAGUCCACGCAGUAGACGAUGAUAACUGGGCGUAUGCGAUAUACAGUAUGCUCCUAAGCGAAAGCGUUAAGUUAUCCACCUGGGGAGUACGCCGGCAACGGUGAAACUCAAAGGAAUUGACGGGGGCCCGCACAAGCGGAGGAACAUGUGGUUUAAUUCGAUGAUACGCGAGGAACCUUACCCGGGAUUGAAAUGUAGACGACGAGCGGUGAAAGUCGCUUUCUCUUCGGGGCGUCUGUGUAGGUGCUGCAUGGUUGUCGUCAGCUCGUGCCGUGAGGUGUCGGCUUAAGUGCCAUAACGAGCGCAACCCCUGUCUACGGUUGCCAUCAGGUAAUGCUGGGAACUCCGUAGAGACUGCCGUCGUAAGGCGUGAGGAAGGUGGGGAUGACGUCAAAUCAGCACGGCCCUUACAUCCGGGGCGACACACGUGUUACAAUGGUGGGGACAAAGGGCAGUUACCUGGCGACAGGAUGCGAAUCUCCAAACCCCAUCACAGUUCGGAUCGGAGUCUGCAACUCGACUCCGUGAAGCUGGAUUCGCUAGUAAUCGCGCAUCAGCCAUGGCGCGGUGAAUACGUUCCCGGGCCUUGUACACACCGCCCGUCAAGCCAUGGGAGUCUGGAGUACCUAAAGUCCGUACCCGCGAGGGACGGCCUAGGGUAUACCCGGGG